AGAGUUUGAUCAUGGCUCAGAUUGAACGCUGGCGGCAUGCCUUACACAUGCAAGUCGAACGGCAGCACGGGAGCUUGCUCCUGGUGGCGAGUGGCGAACGGGUGAGUAAUACAUCGGAACGUACCCUGAAGUGGGGGAUAACGUAGCGAAAGUUACGCUAAUACCGCAUAUUCUGUGAGCAGGAAAGAGGGGGAUCGCAAGACCUCUUGCUUUAGGAGCGGCCGAUGUCGGAUUAGCUAGUUGGUGAGGUAAAGGCUCACCCAAGGCGACGAUCCGUAGCGGGUCUGAGAGGAUGAUCCGCCACACUGGGACUGAGACACGGCCCAGACUCCUACGGGAGGCCGCAGUGGGGAAUUUUGGACAAUGGGCGCAAGCCUGAUCCAGCCAUGCCGCGUGAGUGAAGAAGGCCUUCGGGUUGUAAAGCUCUUUCGGUGGGGAAGAAAUUGCUUCGGUUAAUACCCGGAGUAGAUGACGGUACCCGCAUAAGAAGCACCGGCUAACUACGUG
rnacentral:rRNA from 1 species